rnacentral:rRNA from 1 species
UUAAAUUGAAGAGUUUGAUCAUGGCUCAGAUUGAACGCUGGCGGCAGGCCUAACACAUGCAAGUCGAGCGGUAGCACAGAGAGCUUGCUCUCGGGUGACGAGCGGCGGACGGGUGAGUAAUGUCUGGGAAACUGCCUGAUGGAGGGGGAUAACUACUGGAAACGGUAGCUAAUACCGCAUAACGUCGCAAGACCAAAGUGGGGGACCUUCGGGCCUCAUGCCAUCAGAUGUGCCCAGAUGGGAUUAGCUAGUAGGUGGGGUAACGGCUCACCUAGGCGACGAUCCCUAGCUGGUCUGAGAGGAUGACCAGCCACACUGGAACUGAGACACGGUCCAGACUCCUACGGGAGGCAGCAGUGGGGAAUAUUGCACAAUGGGCGCAAGCCUGAUGCAGCCAUGCCGCGUGUGUGAAGAAGGCCUUCGGGUUGUAAAGCACUUUCAGCGGGGAGGAAGGCGUUAAGGUUAAUAACCUU